rnacentral:rRNA from 1 species
AAAAGGUGGCUAUGCUACCGCUUUUGGAUGGGCCCGCGGCGCAUUAGCUAGUUGGUGGGGUAAAGGCUUACCAAGGCAAUGAUGCGUAGCCGAACUGAGAGGUUGAUCGGCCACAUUGGGACUGAGACACGGCCCAAACUCCUACGGGAGGCAGCAGUAGGGAAUCUUCCACAAUGGGCGAAAGCCUGAUGGAGCAACGCCGCGUGGGUGAAGAAGGUCUUCGGAUCGUAAAACCCUGUUGUUAGAGAAGAAAGUGCGUGAGAGUAACUGUUCACGUUUCGACGGUAUCUAACCAGAAAGCCACGGCUAACUACGUGCCAGCAGCCGCGGUAAUACGUAGGUGGCAAGCGUUAUCCGGAUUUAUUGGGCGUAAAGGGAACGCAGGCGGUCUUUUAAGUCUGAUGUGAAAGCCUUCGGCUUAACCGGAGUAGUGCAUUGGAAACUGGGAGACUUGAGUGCAGAAGAGGAGAGUGGAACUCCAUGUGUAGCGGUGAAAUGCGUAGAUAUAUGGAAGAACACCAGUGGCGAAAGCGGCUCUCUGGUCUGUAACUGACGCUGAGGUUCGAAAGCGUGGGUAGCAAACAGGAUUAGAUACCCUGGUAGUCCACGCCGUAAACGA